rnacentral:rRNA from 1 species
AGAGUUUGAUCAUGGCUCAGAUUGAACGCUGGCGGCAGGCCUAACACAUGCAAGUCGAACGGUAACAGGAAGCAGCUUGCUGCUUCGCUGACGAGUGGCGGACGGGUGAGUAAUGUCUGGGAAACUGCCUGAUGGAGGGGGAUAACUACUGGAAACGGUAGCUAAUACCGCAUAAUGUCGCAAGACCAAAGAGGGGGACCUUCGGGCCUCUUGCCAUCGGAUGUGCCCAGAUGGGAUUAGCUUGUUGGUGGGGUAACGGCUCACCAAGGCGACGAUCCCUAGCUGGUCUGAGAGGAUGACCAGCCACACUGGAACUGAGACACGGUCCAGACUCCUACGGGAGGCAGCAGUGGGGAAUAUUGCACAAUGGGCGCAAGCCUGAUGCAGCCAUGCCGCGUGUAUGAAGAAGGCCUUCGGGUUGUAAAGUACUUUCAGCGGGGAGGAAGGGAGUAAAGUUAAUACCUUUGCUCAUUGACGUUAUCCGCAGAAGAAGCACCGGCUAACUCCGUGCCAGCAGCCGCGGUAAUACGGAGGGUGCAAGCGUUAAUCGGAAUUACUGGGCGUAAAGCGCACGCAGGCGGUUUGUUAAGUCAGAUGUGAAAUCCCCGGGCUCAACCUGGGAACUGCAUCUGAUACUGGCAAGCUUGAGUCUCGUAGAGGGGGGUAGAAUUCCAGGUGUAGCGGUGAAAUGCGUAGAGAUCUGGAGGAAUACCGGUGGCGAAGGCGGCCCCCUGGACGAAAACUGACGCUCAGGUGCGAAAGCGUGGGGAGCAAACAGGAUUAGAUACCCUGGUAGUCCACGCCGUAAACGAUGUCGACUUGGAGGUUGUGCCCUUGAGGCGUGGCUUCCGGAGCUAACGCGUUAAGUCGACCGCCUGGGGAGUACGGCCGCAAGGUUAAAACUCAAAUGAAUUGACGGGGGCCCGCACAAGCGGUGGAGCAUGUGGUUUAAUUCGAUGCAACGCGAAGAACCUUACCUGGUCUUGACAUCCACGGAAGUUUUCAGAGAUGAGAAUGUGCCUUCGGGAACCGUGAGACAGGUGCUGCAUGGCUGUCGUCAGCUCGUGUUGUGAAAUGUUGGGUUAAGUCCCGCAACGAGCGCAACCCUUAUCCUUUGUUGCCAGCGGUCCGGCCGGGAACUCAAAGGAGACUGCCAGUGAUAAACUGGAGGAAGGUGGGGAUGACGUCAAGUCAUCAUGGCCCUUACGACCAGGGCUACACACGUGCUACAAUGGCGCAUACAAAGAGAAGCGACCUCGCGAGAGCAAGCGGACCUCAUAAAGUGCGUCGUAGUCCGGAUUGGAGUCUGCAACUCGACUCCAUGAAGUCGGAAUCGCUAGUAAUCGUGGAUCAGAAUGCCACGGUGAAUACGUUCCCGGGCCUUGUACACACCGCCCGUCACACCAUGGGAGUGGGUUGCAAAAGAAGUAGGUAGCUUAACCUUUGGGAGGGCGCUUACCACUUUGUGAUUCAUGACUGGGGUGAAGUCGUAACAAGGUAACCGUAGGGGAACCUGCGGUUGGAUCACCU